AGCGGCAUGAUAUUGAUGGAAAAGCAUUAGGAGAAAAGAAUCUCAAAUAUUCGUCUGAGUGAAUCCUCUUCUAUGAACGUAGUGAAGCCUUUCUGAUAUCAAUGUCCUCGAUUAGUGCCUCAAGCUGAAUCUGGAAACUCUUAGUGAGCGUUCUGGAGGUUGUGUCCAAGGCUUCAUCACCCUGUGCUGCCUGGCCAGUUGGACAAAUGUUGACAAGUUGGUGCUUCUCUUGGCUGGACACUCAAACAGAGAAUGCAUGUCCAUCAAAUCAUCACACAUGGUAUGUAAGAGGAAAUAUGUAUAUUACAUUUUGAGCAUGUGAGCUUGUAUU